rnacentral:rRNA from 1 species
GAUGAACGCUAGCUGCAGGCUUAACACAUGCAAGUCGAGCGACCGGCGCACGGGAGAGUAACACGUAUCCAACCUCCCCUUUACUCGGUGAUCGCCUUUAGAAAUACAUAUUACUACCCGAUAUGAAGGAUGCAGAUGCGUUCCAUUAGGUUGUUGGUGAGGUACAGGCUCACCACGCCUUCGAUGGAUAGUGGUUCUGAGAGGAAGGUCCCCCAAAGUGGAAAUGAGACACGGUCCAAACGCGUACGUGAGGGAGCAGUGAGGAAUAUUGGGAAAUGGGCGCUAGCCUGAACCAGCCAAGUGGCGUGAAGGAGGAAGGCGUAUGAGUCGUAAACUUCUUGUAUAUAAGAAUAGGUAUUAUAUGAAUAAGGAACGGCUAACUCCGUGCCAGCAGCCGCGGUAAUUC